rnacentral:rRNA from 1 species
UACGUAGGGACCAAGCGUUGUUCGGAUUUACUGGGCGUAAAGGGCGCGUAGGCGGCUUAACAAGUCACUUGUGAAAUCUCCGGGCUUAACUCGGAACGGCCAAGUGAAACUGUCAAGCUAGAGUGCAGAAGGGGCAAUCGGAAUUCUUGGUGUAGCGGUGAAAUGCGUAGAUAUCGGGGGGAACACCAGUGGCGAAGGCGGCUCUCUGGGGUGCACCUGACGCUGAUGCGCGAAAGCGUGGGGAGCGAACCGG